AACGAACGCUGGCGGCAGGCUUAACACAUGAAAGUCGAGCGCAUCCUUCGGGGUGAGCGGCAGACGGGUGAGUAACGCGUGGGAAUCUACCUUUUGCUACGGAAUAGCUCCGGGAAACUGGAAUUAAUACCGUAUGUGCCCUUAGGGGGAAAGAUUUAUCGGCAAGAGAUGAGCCCGCGUUGGAUUAGCUAGUUGGUGGGGUAAAGGCCUACCAAGGCGAAGAUCGAUGGCUAGUCUGAGAGGAUGAUCAGCCACACUGGGAAUGCGACACGGCCCCGCCUCGUUCGGGAGGCAGCAGUGGGGGAUCUUAGACAAUGGGGGAAACCCUGAUCAACCCAUGUCGCGUGAUCGAUGAAGGCCUUAGGGUUGUAAAGAUCUUUCAGUGGGUAAGAUAAUGACUGUACCCACAGAAGAAGCCCCGGCUAACUCCGUGCCAGCCGCCGCCGUAAUAC
rnacentral:rRNA from 1 species